rnacentral:lncRNA from 1 species
GGCACAUGCCACCAUGCCCUGCUAAUUUUUGUAUUUUUAGUAGAGAGACAGGUUUCUCCGUGUUGGCCAGGCAGGUCUCGAACUCCUUCCUGACCUCAAGUGAUCCACCCCCUCGGCCUCCCAAAGUGCUGGGAUUACAGGCAUGAGACACCAUGUCCGGCCGAGAGAUAUCUUCUUAAAAACUGCAAUACAGGGACAGCGUGAUGAGAGGUACAGCAGAAGUUUUCUUGACUAUGAGCUACAAAAGAAGCCCAAAGGAGGAUGGAAUUGAUCUUGCCUGGGGGCAUCAGGGAAGCCUUCGGUUGGAGAGGACAUCAGAUAGCACAACAGUUCAUGCAGAGAGUGGGGAGAUGAAAUCAUUCAGUGUGUCUGAAGAGUAGGAUAUGUGGUGGGGAAGGGGCCUUUGAAGGGAUCUGAAGAUGAUUCUUCAGGCAAGGAAUUUUCAAAAUCCACUCCACAGCAGGAAUAACCUCCUAAGACUCCCUGGAGAUCCUGACUCAGCCCUUCUUGGGCCCUCGGAAUCUCUGUUUUUUUUUAAAGCUCCCAGAUGUAUCAAUCAGACUUAGAAAUCACUGCUCUGGGCAGUACGAUUCCACUUUAGGAAUUUAAGUAGGGGAGAACAUAAUCAGAUUGGCAUUUUAGCAAUAUCCCUUCAACCAAAAUGUGGAAAUUGGACUGAGAGAGAAUGGAGGCAGGGAAGCCCCAUGGGAAGCUUGUGAGAAAGUGGGGACAGGAGCCAAGGCCAUGGGAGCUGGGGUGGAAAGGAUAAGACCCGACAGCACACGGCGGUUGUGUAGCUGUAGAGAGGGGAGCAGAGUCGUCACAUGGCGCCCAGGUUUCGACUGGGACAGUAACUGGGUAGGCAGUGGUCAAGAUGGGAAAUCAGUGGAGGGUCAGAACUGGAGACAGAAUGAGAUCCUUUGGGAAACAAUGAGUCUGAGCUAUCAGCGGGCAGAUGUGGGAAUGGAUGUGAAAAUUUGAGGUCCCCCUUACGGGGGUGCUACUGGACAUCAUAGGAAUAAGUGAGUCACCCAGACAGAGGGUGAAGAGUCAGAAGGGAAGACAACGACGCUGUCAACCUUCAAGGCUCCAGAGAGAGACAAGGAGAUGAGGAGACAAGCAGACGAACAGCGGAACAAUGCAGCAGAGAAAGAGAGAAGAGAAGGAACGUCUGAACGUCGAGAGGAGUUCGGCUGCUGGACGGCCAAACUCCAGGGGAAGAUCAUCUUCCCACUCCAUUCCCCCUCCAGCUCCCCAUCCAUCCCACUGAGAG